CUGGCCUUUAGAAUUACACAUUGGAUAACAUUUAAUGAAAUUCCAUUACCAUUAAGUUUAUUUUAUGAGCUUUCUUUUAUAAAAUCCAUUCAAGUUAUUUCUGGAAAUACUUCCUUAUUACCUAGUUUCUACUAUUUUUUUAAAAUUAUUACUUGUCUAGCAAAUGAAAAGAAAGUGCUACUCUGUUGUCAUUUAAACAUAAAUUUAUUGUUUAUAUAUAGAUUAAUUUUAAUCAUUAGCUUUUAUCUUGGCACUUUUCCUAUGGACUCCAGGUUGGCUAAUGACGUUAUCCUGGCCAUCCAGGCCCAGCUGCUGGGGACACCAUUCACUCCUCUCUCUCCCUUAUCCCCCAUUAUCCAGUGAGUUACCAAGAACUGACCGUUCUACUUCUGAAAUGCGUUGGAAUUGGUACCCUCUGAUUCAUAUUUAAAGACACUGCCUUGGUUCAGGUAGACUGCACUUACUUGAGUGAUGGCAGUAGGCUCAGUAAUUGAUAAAGGCCUUGACUUUAAUCACUUUCUCACCAUGGAAGCUUACUGUCAUAAGCCAGAAUUUUCCUUCUAAAACUAAAAAACGAAACAAAAUAAAAUCAUGCCACUUCCAGGGCCUACACAUUGAAGUUCUUGUAAGGAAACAUUCAGUCUAUCAUUCGUGGCCCUGGUCAUCCUGUCUGCCCUGUAUCUUCCUCUUCUGCCCAUUAGGAACCCUGUUUGUUAAACAGUUUGGUAUUAAGAUUAACUGUGAGCUAUUUUAUCUCCAUAAGCAUAAAUUCUCUCUUCCACCUUCUCUUUACCACCGACACAUCCACAUACCAGUAUUCUUCAAGACUCAUUUGUUGGUGUCCUCUGUUAAGCUUGCCCUGAUCUUUCCAAACAGAAAUCGGACACCCCCUCCCUUGACUCCCGUAACACUUCAUUACACCUCUAUCACAUAUCGUUUUUUGCCUUGUAUAAUUAUGAUUUACAUAUAUAAUAAGUUGAAGGAGUUUUUAAUCAUCUUAAUAGCUGGCACUGAAUUCCUCCAGAACAAAAUUCUUGGUGUGGAAAACGUGCCCUCUGAAAGACUUGGAGGUAAGCUGUGAGCUGUGAGCCCUACCCGUACUUCCUAGCCAGGGACCUGGAUAUAACCUGCCCCCAAGGUUUUUGGAAGGCAAAGCUAUCAUACUUGGGCCAGGGGAAGGUAGCUGUUGUUUUUCUUUUGCAUGCAGUUGAGAUGGGGGUGGAGUGAGAAAGAGAAGAGACGUAGCAGAGAGCUCCCCAGCAAGAUGCAAAGAGUGUGAGGCUGGAUGAGACCAGUGAGCGGCACAGAGGCAGCCAAGAGCAUUUUCCAGAUAGAAGGAGCAACAGGCAAGGAGAGUGAAGCUCCAGGAGUCCCUCCACAUCUGUCUGUAGGCGAGAGGGCUUCCUAGAUGCUCAGAUGGGUUUAUGUAGUUCUUGAAGAAGGUGUUCUUGAAGAAGGUGCUAACUUGAUGCUGGAGGCCAAGGUGGUUCUGAGAACUGAAGUCCCAGAAAUAUACAUACAUCCUGGAGGGCGCUAGGGAAGAGGAAAUAUACAUACAUCCUGGAGGGCGCUAGGGAAGAGGCUUUACACUUCCACACGUCAUAGAUUUGAGCAAAGAUUUGAGUCAUUUUUCGUGCAUUUGAGGUAGAGAGAUUUCCAAGUUCUACACUUUACUAGAUUAUGAACUUGCUAAGGAUGCCUUUGCGUGUUCACUUGCUUCCCUAUGGUGAACUUACAGAAAAUAAUUUUUUUUUUUUUUUUAUUGAGUCACUACUGUUAAGAUGAAAAAUACCUACACAGCUGACUGCUACUAAUCUACAACUCUCAUCUUACUGAUUUUCUCAGCAGGAAAAAGCCAAGUUUAAAAAAAAAAAAAAA